GGCUGUAGCUUACUGGAAUAGCAUCUGCUUUGCAUGCAGAAGGUCCCAGGUUCCAUCACCAGCCUUUCCUGUUGAGCCU